CACCUGCUUUGCACGCAGGGGGUUGUCGGUUCGAAUCCGAUCUCGUCCACCA
rnacentral:tRNA from 1 species